rnacentral:rRNA from 1 species
GGACCCGCACAAGCGGUGGAACAUGUGGUUUAAUUCGAUACUACGCGAAAAACCUUACCAAGUCUUGACAUAGUAGUUGUAUGAUUAAGAAACUAGUCAGUCAGCUAGGCUGGACUAUCACAGGUGUUGCAUGGCUGUCGUCAGCUCGUGUCGUGAGAUGUUGGGUUAAGUCCCGCAACGAGCGAAACCCUCAUCUUUAGUUGCCAACAGGUAAUGCUGGGAACUCUAAAGAAACUGCCAACGAUGAGUUGGAGGAAGGUGAGGACGACGUCAAGUCAGCAUGACCCUUAUGACUUGGGCUACACACGUGUUACAAUGGUAAUUACAAAAUGAAGCGAUAGGUAGACCUGAGCAAA